rnacentral:lncRNA from 1 species
UUUGACCCCUAGCCUGGGAACUUCCAUGUACCGCAAGUGCAGCCCUUAAAAAAAAAAAAAAAGCCGAAGGAAAAAAAAAAAGAAAAAAAGAAAAAAAAGAAAGAAAAGGGAAGGGGGGAGGUUGAUCUGGAUUCUCACUGUCACCUUUAUCAGGCACCUACUGUGUGCCAGGCGAUGGGCUCAGUCCCAAUUUAUGUGGAUCGUCUCGUCCAGUCCCCACCCUGGCCCUGUGCCAGUGUUGUUAUCCUGCUCUGACAGAGAAGGAAACUGAGACUCAGGGGCGUUAUGUAACUUGCCCAAGGUCACACAGCUCAUCAGCAGCAAAGCCAGGAUCCUAGCCCAGGUCUGUCAGCCUCCAGUGGGUUCUCCCUGCUGCCAGAAAGUCCUCCUCCUGGAAAAGCAGGUCUGGGGUUGGGGUUUUCAGUCAGAGCUCAUCAGGAUCCCCAGAGGCAAAUCUAUUGUCAUCUGCCCUCCUCCUCCUCACCCAUCUGCCAAGGCAAGUCGCAGAGUGGAAAAGAGCCAGUGAGGGUGGAGCAUGGAGGGAGCAUCAGAAGAUGACACUGGAGAGGAAGCAGGGACCAGACCCACCUGGUCAGGAGUUUGGAUUUUAUUCUAUGUGCUAA